UACAGAGGGUGCAAGCGUUAAUCGGAAUUACUGGGCGUAAAGCGUGCGCAGACGGUCUCGUAAGUCGGGUGUGAAAUCCCCGGGCUCAACCUGGGAAUUGCAUUCGAAACUGCGAGGCUAGGGUACGGAAGAGGGAAGCGGAAUUUCUGGUGUAGCGGUGAAAUGCGUAGAUAUCAGAAGGAACAUCAGUGGCGAAAGCGGCUCCCUGGUCCAGUACCGACGUUCAGGCACGAAAGCGUGGGGAGCAAACAGG
rnacentral:rRNA from 1 species